rnacentral:rRNA from 1 species
UACGUAGGGUGCAAGCGUUAAUCGGAAUUACUGGGCGUAAAGCGUGCGCAGGCGGUUAUGUAAGACAGGUGUGAAAUCCCCAGGCUUAACCUGGGAAUUGCAUUUGUGACUGCAUGGCUAGAGUGUGUCAGAGGGGGGUAGAAUUCCACGUGUAGCAGUGAAAUGCGUAGAUAUGUGGAGGAAUACCGAUGGCGAAGGCAGCCCCCUGGGAUAACACUGACGCUCAUGCACGAAAGCGUGGGGAGCAAACAGG